AUUGAACGCUGGCGGCAUGCCUUACACAUGCAAGUCGAACGGCAGCACGGGGCAACCUGGUGGCGAGUGGCGAACGGGUGAGUAAUGCAUCGGAACGUACCUUUCAGUGGGGGAUAACGUAGCGAAAGUUACGCCAAUACCGCAUAUUCUGUGAGCAGGAAAGCAGGGGGUCGCAAGACCUUGCGCUGAUUGAGCGGCCGAUGUCAGAUUAGCUAGGUGGUGAGGUAAAGGCGCGCCAAGGCGACGAUCUGGAGCGGGUCUGAGAGGAGGAUCCGCCACACUGGAACUGAGACACGGUCCAGACUCCUACGGGAGGCAGCAGUGGGGAAUUUUGGACAAUGGGGGCAACCCUGAUCCAGCCAUGCCGCGUGAGUGAAGAAGGCCUUCGGGUUGUAAAGCUCUUUCGGCCGGGAAGAAAUCGCACGGGCUAAUACCCUGUGUGGAUGACGGUACCGGAAUAAGAAGCACCGGCUAACUACGUGCCAGCAGCCGCGGUAAGAC
rnacentral:rRNA from 1 species